GACGAACGCUGGCGGCGUGCUUAACACAUGCAAGUCGAACGGUAAGGCCCUUCGGGGUACACGAGUGGCGAACGGGUGAGUAACACGUGGGUGAUCUGCCCUGCACUUGGGAUAAGCCUGGGAAACUGGGUCUAAUACCGGAUAGGACCACUGCCUGCAUGGGUGGUGGUGGAAAGCUUUUGCGGUGUGGGAUGGGCCCGCGGCCUAUCAGCUUGUUGGUGGGGUGAUGGCCUACCAAGGCGACGACGGGUAGCCGGCCUGAGAGGGUGACCGGCCACACUGGGACUGUGAUACGGCCCAGACUCCUACGGGAGGCAGCAGUGGGGAAUAUUGCACAAUGGGCGCAAGCCUGAUGCAGCGACGCCGCGUGAGGGAUGACGGCCUUCGGGUUGUAAACCUCUUUCAGCACCGACGAAGCGCAAGUGACGGUAGGUGCAGAAGAAGGACCGGCCAACUACGUGCCAGCCGCCGCCGUAA
rnacentral:rRNA from 1 species